AGCCCCUUCGUCGUUGAUAAUGUUGAGCUCCUCUUCCUACAAUCUUUAAUUUCAGCUCUUUUUUUCGUAGGUGAUGAAUUAUCUUCACUUUUUUUGUUGUCUUUCUUGUUGCUCAGCUUGCCGAAGUAAGAACAUUCCCUUCUUCCUCAUUUUUUUCACUUUUCAAACUUUAUCACUGACAUACUCCCUUGCAAAUGUGUGUUCCGGUGGAUAUCCUUGGGUUCCGAAGUAAGUCACAAGAUAGCUAGAACAAUGUAUCUCGGUUUUAUGGAUCUGUAAGCAAAAGAGGAGAAAAACAAGUAGCUCCUGACCUCCGUCUUUCAAAUCUCCUAGCUAUGAAUAAGUGUCGAAUUGCUAAAUCCGUUCCUCUGCUCUCAAAUUUUGUCGGUGACCCUUUUUGGUGGCUGAUGUAGCUUAAGCUAGUUAGCAAUAUCACAGUUAUUUUGCCCCUAUGAUGACCACAAACUAUAUUGUACAUGUAAUAACUGUGAGACACUGUGGUCUUUCUUAAUCCCCUCCCCAUGCUUAGUUAUGUGUGCUGCUUAUCUUCCUUGUUU